rnacentral:rRNA from 1 species
UGGCGAACGGGUGAGUAACACGUGGGUAACCUGCCUCUUGCUCUGGGAUAACUCCGGGAAACCGGGGCUAAUACCGGAUAUUCACUUCUGGCGGCAUCGCUGGUUGUGGAAAGUUUUUCGGCGAGAGAUGGACCCGCGGCCUAUCAGCUUGUUGGUGGGGUGAUGGCCUACCAAGGCGACGACGGGUAGCCGGCCUGAGAGGGCGACCGGCCACACUGGGACUGAGACACGGCCCAG